GACGAACGCUGGCGGCGUGCCUAACACAUGCAAGUCGAACGGAGUUGAUCCUUCGGGAUUAACUUAGUGGCGGACGGGUGAGUAACGCGUGGGUAACCUGCCGUAUGCUGGGGGACAACAGUUGGAAACGACUGCUAAUACCGCAUAAGCGCACAGUACCGCAUGGUAUAGUGUGAAAAACUCCGGUGGCAUACGAUGGACCCGCGUCUGAUUAGCUAGUUGGUGAGGUAACGGCUCACCAAGUCGACGAUCGGUAGCCGACCUGAGAGGGUGAUCGGCCACAUUGGGACUGAGACACGGCCCAAACUCCUACGGGAGGCAGCAGUGGGGAAUAUUGGGCAAUGGGCGAAAGCCUGACCCAGCAACGCCGCGUGAAGGAAGAAGGUCUUCGGAUCGUAAACUUCUGUCCUAAGUGAAGAGCAGAAGACGGUAACUUAGGAGGAAGCCCCGGCUAACUACGUG
rnacentral:rRNA from 1 species